rnacentral:rRNA from 1 species
AGAGUUUGAUCAUGGCUCAGAAUGAACGCUGGCGGCGUGCUUAACACAUGCAAGUCGAACGGUAACAGAAGCAGCUUGCUGCUUGCUGACGAGUGGCGCACGGGUGAGUAAUAUAUAGAUAAUGUGCCUUUUAGUUCGGGAUAGCCAUUGGAAACGAUGAUUAAUACUGGAUACUCCUUCUAAUCAAAAGAUUAGUCGGGAAAGUUUUUCGCUAAAAGAUCGGUCUAUAUCCCAUCAGUUAGUUGGUAAGGUAACGGCUUACCAAGGCGAUGACGGGUAGCGGGUUUGAGAGGAUGAUCCNCCACACUGGUACUGAGACACGGACCAGACUCCUACGGGAGGCAGCAGUGAGGAAUAUUGCACAAUGGGGGAAACCCUGAUGCAGCAACGCCGCGUGGANGAUGACGCAUUUCGGUGUGUAAACUCCUNUUNUAUGUCAAG